rnacentral:rRNA from 1 species
UACGUAGGGAGCAAGCGUUGUCCGGAAUCAUUGGGCGUAAAGCGCGCGUAGGCGGCCCCGUAAGUCCGCUGUGAAAGUCAAAGGCUCAACCUUUGAAAAGCCCGGUGGAUACUGGUGGGGCUAGAGUCCGGAAGAGGCGAGUGGAAAUUCCUGGUGUAGGCGGGUGAAAUGCGGCAGAUAUCAAGGAGGAACACCAAUGGACGAAGGCAGCUCGCUGGGACGUGAACUGACGCUGAGACGCGAAGCGUGGGGAGCAAACAG